AAUUGAGAUCCCUCGGAGCUGUAUAACUCAAGAAAUUCAGAUCAGCAUGCUUUCUUCAUUGAAGUUGUUCCUGAACUUGUGAACUACAACCUUGAUAUGGACACUUGGACACCUAUAUAUAUGUGGUUCUGAUGCAGAGGAGAAGCUGUAAGAGGUUAUGAUCUUGCUGCACUUAGGUACAACUAUUCUUCAACUCAUAUAAACUUUCUGUUUUAUACUAAACUGGAGGAAAAGAUACAUGCAAAGGAGAUGGAAAAGAAUAAUUUGCAAGCCAAGCAUGAGGAAGAAACUGACUUAAAACAACUCCAAUGCCAAUCUUCUAUCAAGAGCCUCCACCUCCUAAAGCGGACAUGAAGAAGGUGCUCCGGGUCUACGCACCAGUUCAAUCUCCACCGUCCGGUUAUCGUCGAUGAGGCGACAGAGUUCUUCAACACAGUUGGAGUUUCAGAUUUCACUUUGAUAGUUGCAAAUUGUGGGGAUGGCGGUGUCGUGCAAAGUUAACCCGUUCGUGGCUCACCGGAAAACCCCCUGAUUGGGCUUUAUAAGGAGAGGGAACUCAUAAUGUAGUAGAUAUUCCUCAAUGCAAAGUUUGACAUUCUCGACGAUGAUGAUAAUGUAGUUCAGGAUUAUGAUUCGCCCCGAACAAGAAGGAUGGAUUUGCUGUCUAUGCCAACAAGGGGGUAAGGUGAGAUAUAGUUUUCGUCAUGUCUUUAUAGUAGCUAGGCAUUUUUCAAGGACUUUUAAUUGCUGCUGCAUUGUUGAAUACAUUAAGAAUGAUGCGAUAAACCAGGGAGGGAGUCAUCAGCUUAUGGAUUGUUAACACAUCCAAAGUGCUGUAAUCUUUUCGCUACUUAAACAUGUUAAGAAUCUAUAUUCAUCUUAAUGUAUUCAUAAUUGUGUUGAAUUUAUUCAACUUAAAUGUGUUUUAUUCAUUCGAUUACGCCUGAAACAGCUGGUUCCCGCAGCAACGCGCAGGCAUUAUUUCUAGUACCA